rnacentral:lncRNA from 1 species
UAUUAUUAUUAUUAUUAUUAUUAUUAUUAUUAUUAUUAUUAUUAUUAUUACACAGCAAACAAGAUAGAUAUGCUGGAUUUCGUAUCACAAAAUCACAAGUCAAACACUUCCCAAGUGUCUUGGACUGUGUGAUGUAUUUUCAGAUGAUGCAUGCAGAUCCCAGUAGGGUGGCCUUUUGCAGUUGGCAGAUCGUAAUUUUGUCAAUGCCUAUUGUUUCCAAAUGCCGGCUGAGAUCUUUUGGCACGGCACCCAGUGUGCCCAUCACCACCGGGACCACCUGCACUGGUUUCUGCCAGUCUUUGAAGUUCAGUCUUGAGGUCCUGAUAGCGGCUGAGUUUUUCCUGUUGUUUUCGUCAAUGUGACUGUCACCUGGGAUGGUGACAUCAAUGAUCCAAAUCUUUUUCUUUUCCACAACUGUGAUGUCCGGUGUGUUGUGUUCCAGAACUUUGUCAGUCUGGAUUCGGAAGUCCCACAGUAUCUUUGCGUGCUUAUUUUCCAAUGCUUUUGCAGGUUUGUGAUCCCACCAGUUCUUUGCUGCUGGCAGGUGGGAUCACUAACCUGCAAAAGUAUUGGAAAAUGAGCAUGCAAAGAUACUGUGGGACUUCCGAAUCCAGACUGACAAAGUUCUGGAACACAACACACCAGACAUCACAGUUGUGGAAAAGAACAAGGUUUGGAUCAUUGAUGUCGCCAUCCCAGGUGACAGUCGCAUUGACGAAAAACAACAAGAAAAACUCAGCCGCUAUCAGGACCUCAAAAUUGAACUUCAAAGACUCUGGCAGAAACCAGUGCAGGUGGUCCCGGUGGUGAUGGGCACAUUGGGUGCCGUGCCAAAAGAUCUCAGCGGGCAUUUGGAAACAAUAGGCAUUGACAAAAUCACGAUCUGCCAACUGCAAAAGGCCACCCUACUGGGAUCUGCAUGCAUCAUCCGAAAAUAUAUCACACAGUCCUAGACACUUGGGAAGUGUUCGACUUGUGGUUUUGUGAUAUGAAAUACAGCAUGUCUAUCUUGUUUGCUGUGUCAUAAUAAAAUAAUAAUAAUAAUAAUUACUGUAUUGCUGGAGUCUACCUUGCAGGCUUUCUCUCAACCCUCCUUAU